UACGGCGGGCGCAAGCGUUGUUCGGAAUCAUUGGGCGUAAAGCGCGUGUAGGCGGUUUGGUAAGGCCGGUGUGAAAUCCCGGGGCUCAACCCCGGAACUGCAUUCGAAACUGCCUGGCUAGAGUCCCGGAGGGGAGGGCGGAAUUCCCGGUGUAGAGGUGAAAUUCGUAGAUAUCGGGAGGAACACCAGCGGCGAAGGCGGCCCUCUGGACGGUGACUGACGCUGAGACGCGAAAGCGUGGGGAGCAAACAGG
rnacentral:rRNA from 1 species